AAGACUGUAAAUUCAGGGACCAUUUCUAUAGUUUGUUACUAGAGAAGUUUCUCUGAAUGUGUAGAGCACAGAAAACCACGAGGAGGAGGUGCAGUGUUCUCUCCUGAGUGUGCAAUGGGCUCUUGGUGGUGUUCUGCAGCAACUACCAUUUGCUGUUGAUGAUCGUUCUUACUUCUCCCUUGGGAGGGUAAAAGGGAGAAGACACUGUCUGGGU